rnacentral:misc_RNA from 1 species
CGCACCUUGCGCUCCUUGGUAUUCCGAGGAGCAUGCCUGUUUGAGUGUCAUUAAAUUCUCAACCCCGACCGGAUUUGCUUUCGACUCGGUGGCUUGGAUCGUGGAGCGUGCUGGCCCUCGGCGGUCGGCUCCUCUCAAAUGCAUUCGCGGAAUCGACUUUGGUCCGUUUCGGUCAUCAGUGUGAUAAUCAUGUUGCGCUGUCGGCUAGGAUCGAGGUGCCGCAUAUAAUCGUCUUCGGACAAUCGUCAUAUCAAUUUGGCCUCAAAUCAGGUAGGACUACCCGCUGAACUUAA